rnacentral:lncRNA from 1 species
AAGAAAAAGGAGGAAUUUAAGGACCUUCGCCAACUAUUUAGGUUUGCCCCCUCUAAUGGUCACCCCCGAAAGUCGUAAAGUUAGGAAAUUUCUGAAAGGCCUUCGUGCUGAUAUCUAAGAUUGAGUUGUGAUGCUGCGGCCCAGCUCGUAUGUUGAGGUGCUAGAAUAUGCCCAAUUAAUCGAUGACCUUAUCUAGGUUAGGCACCAACGCAUUGCCUGAGUUCGUACCUAAUAACAACAACACCAACUCCAAUAACCCAUAAGAAGACUGCCCGACCCAGUAAGUAGCCACCCUGAUAAACGAACUCGAUUUGCCCCUCCCCCUACUCUACCUCCACCUACUAGACAACUUGCCUGACCUUCCCAACCAUGCUAGCAUUGUGGUCGCUCGCAUGGUGAACUAACUUGUCGGCAUAUUAAUCACGUCUGCUAUUGGUGUGGAAGCACCCAGUACCUUAUAAAGGACUGCCCUCAGUGGCCGAAGGAUGUGGCCAGACCCGUAGCCCAGAGUCGUGUGUAUCACCUUGAUGAACUCGUUGCCCUCCUCACUCCUAUCCUUAUCCAAAGUAUGGUUUCUAUCUAUGAUACUGUGCCAAAGCUUUGAUCGAUACAAGUGUUACCCAUUCUUUUAUCACUUAUGCAUUUACUUGUAAAUUAGAUAUUAGGCCUGAACCUUUAAGAGAAAUACUAGCUAUAGAAACUCCCUCUAGGGGAUUACUAGAAACUCACUGUGUAUAUAAAAAUUAUAAAAUAAAAGCUUUAAAAAUAGAAAUAUUUGUAGAUCUAAUCCUUUUAGAUUUCUCAGGGUUCGAUAUUAUUCUAGGAAUGAAUUGGUUA